GAGAGUUUGAUCCUGGCUCUCAGGAUGAACGCUGGCGGCGUGCCUAAUACAUGCAAGUCGAGCGAAUGGAUUAAGAGCUUGCUCUUAUGAAGUUAGCGGCGGACGGGUGAGUAACACGUGGGUAACCUGCCCAUAAGACUGGGAUAACUCCGGGAAACCGGGGCUAAUACCGGAUAACAUUUUGAACCGCAUGGUUCGAAAUUGAAAGGUGGCUUCGGCUGUCACUUAUGGAUGGACCCGCGUCGCAUUAGCUAGUUGGUGAGGUAACGGCUCACCAAGGCAACGAUGCGUAGCCGACCUG
rnacentral:rRNA from 1 species